rnacentral:rRNA from 1 species
GUGCAGCCGCCGCGGUAAUACGGAGGGUGCAAGCGUUGUCCGGAAUCACUGGGUGUAAAGGGUGUGCAGGCGGGGCAACAAGUCGGAGGUGAAAGCCCAUGGCUCAACCAUGGAAGUGCCUUCGAAACUGUUGCUCUUGAGUCCCGGAGAGGUUGUCGGAAUUCGUGGUGUAGCGGUGAAAUGCGUAGAUAUCACGAGGAACACCAGAGGCGAAAGCGGACAACUGGACGGGUACUGACACUGAGGCACGAAAGCGUGGGGAGCAAACAGGAUUAGAUACCCUAGUAGUCC